rnacentral:tRNA from 1 species
AUUUAUAUAGUUUAUAAAAAACAUUAUAUUUUCAUUAUAGAAAAAAGAGAAUCUUCUUUAUAAAUG